UGGCUCAGGAUGAACGCUAGCGGCAGGCUUAACACAUGCAAGUCGAGGGGCAUCGGGAGGGAAGCUUGCUUUCCUUGCCGGCGACCGGCGCACGGGUGAGUAACACGUAUGCAACCUGCCCUCUUCAGGGGGACAACCUUCCGAAAGGGAGGCUAAUCCCGCGUAUAUCGGUUUCGGGCAUCCGAGAUCGAGGAAAGAUUCAUCGGAAGAGGAUGGGCAUGCGGCGCAUUAGCUAGACGGCGGGGUAACGGCCCACCGUGGCGACGAUGCGUAGGGGUUCUGAGAGGAAGGUCCCCCACACUGGUACUGAGACACGGACCAGACUCCUACGGGAGGCAGCAGUGAGGAAUAUUGGUCAAUGGGAGAGAUCCUGAACCAGCCAAGCCGCGUGAGGGAAGACGGCCCUAUGGGUUGUAAACCUCUUUUGUCGGAGAACAAAACCCGGGACGUGUCCCGGACUGCGUGUAUCCGAAGAAAAAGCAUCGGCUAACUCCGUGCCAGCAGCCGCGGUAAUACGGAGGAUGCGAGCGUUAUCCGGAUUUAUUGGGUUUAAAGGGUGCGUAGGCGGUCCGUUAAGUCAGCGGUAAAAUUGCGGGGCUCAACCCCGUCGAGCCGUUGAAACUGGCAGACUUGAGUUGGCGAGAAGUACGCGGAAUGCGCGGUGUAGCGGUGAAAUGCAUAGAUAUCGCGCAGAACUCCGAUUGCGAAGGCAGCGUACCGGCGCCAGACUGACGCUGAGGCACGAAAGCGUGGGGAUCGAACAGGAUUAGAUACCCUGGUAGUCCACGCAGUAAACGAUGAAUGCUGGUUGUCCGGGUCGAAUGAGAUCUGGGCGGCGAAGCGAAAGCGAUAAGCAUUCCACCUGGGGAGUACGCCGGCAACGGUGAAACUCAAAGGAAUUGACGGGGGCCCGCACAAGCGGAGGAACAUGUGGUUUAAUUCGAUGAUACGCGAGGAACCUUACCCGGGCUCAAACGGGAGUGGAAUGGACCAGAGACGGUUCAGCCUACGGGCCGCUUCCGAGGUGCUGCAUGGUUGUCGUCAGCUCGUGCCGUGAGGUGUCGGCUUAAGUGCCAUAACGAGCGCAACCCCCGCCGGCAGUUGCUAACGGGCAAUGCCGAGGACUCUGCCGGGACUGCCGCCGCAAGGCGUGAGGAAGGCGGGGAUGACGUCAAAUCAGCACGGCCCUUACGUCCGGGGCGACACACGUGUUACAAUGGGCGGUACAGCGGGAAGCCAGGCGGCGACGCCGAGCGGAACCCGAAAGCCGUUCUCAGUUCGGAUCGGAGUCUGCAACCCGACUCCGUGAAGCUGGAUUCGCUAGUAAUCGCGCAUCAGCCAUGGCGCGGUGAAUACGUUCCCGGGCCUUGUACACACCGCCCGUCAAGCCAUGGGAGCCGGGGGUGCUUGAAGUGCGUCGCCGUGAGGCGCGCCCUAGAGCAAAACCGGUGACUGGGGCUAAGUCGUAACAAGGUAACCGU
rnacentral:rRNA from 1 species